AAAGUAUGAUGGGACACUUUCUAAUAACAUCCUUAUGUCUCUCCCAAGUCUCAUAGAAUUGCUCACCAUUAACUUGCCAAAAGCUAGUGAUGUCUUGCCUGAUUUU